rnacentral:rRNA from 1 species
GUCUACAGCAACACCACCCUGAACAAGCCCAAUCCCAUCUGAUCUUGGAAGCUAAGCAGGGUUGAGCCUGGUUAGUACUUGGAUGGGAGAUCACUUAGGAAGACAGGUAAACUCUACU